rnacentral:lncRNA from 1 species
AUGUUAGAAGUCAGAGGUAUCUCAUCCAUCUUGGUGAUGUGGCUGGGCGCGGUUAUGUUGUCACGGCAGAUGGCCACCCUCUCCUGGUUAGGGUUAGGGUUAGGGUUAGGGUUAGGGAAGAUGGCCACCCUCUCCUGGUUAGGGUUAGGGAAGAUGGCCGCCCUCUCCUGGUUAGGGUUAGGGUUAGGGAAGAUGGCUGCCCUCUCCUGGUUAGGGUUAGGGUUAGGGAAGAUGGCCACCCUCUCCUGGUUAGGGUUAGGGAAGAUGGCCACCCUCUCCUGGUUAGGGUUAGGGUUAGGGAAGAUGGCCACCCUCUCCUGGUUAGGGUUAGGGUUAGGGAAGAUGGCCACCCUCUCCUGGUUAGGGUUAGGGAAGAUGGCCACCCUCUCCUGGUUAGGGUUAGGGUUAGGGAAGAUGGCUGCCCUCUCCUGGUUAGGGUUAGGGUUAGGGUUAGGGAAGAUGGCUGCCCUCUCCUGGUUAGGGUUAGGGAAGAUGGCCGCCCUCUCCUGGUUAGGGUUAGGGUUAGGGAAGAUGGCCGCCCUCUCCUGGUAAUCCGCGGGCAGCCGCUGUGCAACAGUUGUCCUCGUGCGUAUGGAGUAAAAAGAUGCUGCCUCCUCAUAAAGCGAAAACACUAAGAUUGCUCGAUUGCCAUAUUCAGCCGCAUAUUUGAUGGCCUGCAGUUUAAAGUAAGCCUCAUUCAUACGCGUCUCGCUUGAACGGCACCAUUUUAGGGGAUCCUUACGCGUAGGUGUGCCGCUAAUCGAUUGGCGGAGCGUUUACCGUAGUGCACCCACCAAAGGGGCACAGCAGAUUUUGGAACUCAGUCCACACACAAGGCGCACCGUCGAUUUUUGAGAAAAUCUCAGUGUUUUAGGCGCCUUAUAGUCGUGAAAAUACGAUACGUUCUGAGAGGAGUCCUCAUGUGGUCCACAUGGGGGCGCUGUUGGACUUCUACUGGUGUGUGAGAACUCACACACCUAACCCUAAGUGACCAUAGAAUAAGCCCCCCCCCCCCCCCCCACACACACACACACACAC